CGACUCUCGGCAACGGAUAUCUCGGCUCACGCAUCGAUGAAGAACGUAGCAAAAUGCGAUACUUGGUGUGAAUUGCAGAAUCCCGUGAACCAUCGAGUUUUUGAACGCAAGUUGCGCCCGAAGCCUUUUGGCCGAGGGCACGUCUGCCUGGGCG
rnacentral:rRNA from 3 species